UCUGUACGAUGAUUCUCUCUGUGCUGAUGUGCAUGAGAGGCUUCUUAAAGGGAAGUGAAACAAUGUGUGAGUGAGUGACUGGUGGAGCAGAAAAACCAUCUGACAGAAACUCCUUAAAGGAGAAAAUCAACUCUCACACAGGAAAGGUGUCCAAGUGUCUGCUGCUUGAUUGACAGUUGUGUGGUCCCGCUGUCCUCUAAUCUGAUUGGUGUCUCCUAGGUGAUGCCCGUCCCACCCUGACGGUGCUGCCCCCCUCCAGUGAGCAGCUGCAGCAGGGGGAGGCCACGCUCAUGUGCCUGGCCAACAAGGGCUUCCCCUCAGACUGGAGUCUGUCCUGGAAGGUGGACGGCAGCAGCAGCAGCAGCAGCAGCAUCAGCUGGGAGCAGAGCAGCAGCCCCGGGGUGCUGGAGAAGGACGGCCACUACAGCUGGAGCAGCACCCUGAGGCUCUCUGCAGACCAGUGGAGGAAGGUGGGCUCUGUGACCUGUGAGGCCACCCAGGGCUCCCAGACUCCGCUCUCAGAGACUCUGAGGAGAGACCAGUGUCCCCAGUCCUGACCUGACUCACUGGUUUUACUCUGCUGCUGCUCUCACUCUGCACUCUGUAACUCUCUCUUUCUCACAUGUUCUUGCUUGUGUUGAUGCUUUCAAAUUUUUAAAGAAAUAAAGAUUUGAUUACAUGUAUUAUGAAAAUGUCUUUUUACUCUUCUUCUUUGACAUAUAGAAGAUAUAACAGUCCAGUCCAAAACUGUAAAGUCCAGACUUGUACAUUCAUCUAUUCAAGUAUAGUUUGUUGUUAAUUGUUAGCUAUUAAUUAUUCUGAAGCUCUGAAAUAAAAAAAAUAAAUGAUAGAAAGGAUUCACAAAAUUAGAAAUAAAAGAAGAAUAUCGUCUGCAUAGAG